AGGGUGUCAUGGUUGAGACUCGAAGCCUUGAGUACCCAUAAUUGGUUGAGACUCUUCAUUUCCUUCUUAGAGCCUUACAAUUAUCCUCAAAAUAAAAUAAAAUAUGUAAUUUUUUCUCAAGAUCAAAGAUAAUAUAAGUGUAGACCAAAUUAUUAAACUUGGCACUAAUGUCAUAAUAAUAUGAGUGCCUAGAACCCAAUUUAAACAUAAACAAUAAUCCAACAAAUUUUAAAGAAAAACAUAUAUAGGUAAAAUAAUAAAUAUCAACUUUAUUCUCGGACACAAACACCUUGAUACUACUCCUCAGUCUUGUCAUGAGGAUAACCUACAUAUAAUAAUAAAAAAGAAAUACAUAGAAAAUAGGAUGUGAGAUUCUAUAAUGGAAAAACAUAUAUUCAAAUAUAAUAUAUAGAUAAGUAGGAUAUAAGCGUGUAGCGGGAAUCAAACCCGCGUCGUUAGCUGUGAAGUCUAAGAAUUAUAGUCGACAUCCAAUCAUGAACAUCUUUAAUUCAAAAUUGAACGUGAAACUUUUGUUUCAUUAAGAUCUUUUACAAAAUAAAUUAAGAGAUAGAUGGAAUACAUGAAAAAAAUGAUACAUAACAUCUAUCUCAACUUUAGGUAUGAAUACAUAUGUUAUACGAAACUUAAAGUGGUAUAAAAGUAGUAAUGCAUAGAAACAAACACAUGAAUAUACUCUGAGAUAGGUAGAAUAUGGUGAAUAUGGAAUUAAAAGAUGAACACCACCCCUCAGGAUGAACAUCAACACAUCACACUCUCACUAGUAUUAGAAUGUUAGGUGCCUACUCAGAGUUUCUCAACUAUAUAAAUAUGCCCUAAAAACAACGAAUCAUAAAGAAUCACUAGGGUUUCAAUCUAACAUUGUUUUUGUGUUUUUUUUUUUAAUUACGGAUCGUGUAGACAUGUUUAGUGAUUUUUGACUUGUAUGUGUAAUUAAUCUCUUCAGAAAAAUUUGAUAUUGUUUAUUGGUUGUACAUGUUGUGGUGUACUCAAGUAUGUGUUGAAGUUAUUAUAGCAUUCGUUAUGUUUUUCGAUAUUCUUAAGCGGAAGAAAGAUUCAGUACACAUCUGAACGAAUAUGGUAAAACAGUUUUUCAACUAAUAUAUAUGUUGGGUAAACCAAGAUCUACCAAGGAUUAAAAUGGUUCAUUUUUUGACUCUUAAGAGUAUACUUUAAGUUAUAUACUUUGUCAUUAUAUUAUCUAUAAUAUAACUGUGUUAUUUUAAAUGUUUGUGAGUGUAAGAGCAUGAAGAUCAUCUUUGAUAUUCGAUAUUUGAUUUAUGUAAGAUAUGUCAUAGAUGUUAUAUUUUUCAUAUGUAAUAACAUAAUUUUUUACUUGGUAUGUCUAUUCCGACCUAAGUUAUGGACUUUGAUCAACUUAUAACAUUUAAUUUCCAUGAGAAGUAACGUGACGCUUUCAGAUUGUAAGCGAGAGAAUUUGUGGCAUCAUACUUUACCAGUUUCAUUGUCAAAAAUUACUUUAGCAUGCAUCAAAUACCUAUGAAUGAUAUAAAAUUAAAUUUAAUGAUGAUUAGGUUAGGGAUGUGUGGUAGCUUAUUUGUGCGUUGUACUUACUUCUAUCCCCUAAUUUUGAAGUUUAUAGUCUUAGUCCCUAUUUAAAAUGAUUCCUUUUAUAGGGCUUAUUUAUGUGUUGUACUCUCUUUUCAAUUUAAUAUAUAUAUACCACGAAAAAAAAUAUUAAAAUGGUUCUAAUUCGAUUAAAGAAAUUGCAAAGUUGAAGAAGCACAUGAAAGAUUAAGACAAAUUAUAAUAGUAAUAAUGUUAUAAUGAGAAAAUAAAAUAAAAGGCUUAGACCUAAUAGAGAAAUAUGUCUACCUUACUUGGGAUAGCUCACACAAUUUCCAUUAUCGCACCACAAAUGAUGUGCAUUAACGCCAGGAAAUUUUUUCUGGCAUUCGGUGUCAGUAUCACACUCUCCUGUAAUGUAAAAUAAGGAUAAAGAAAUAUUACCAAAUAUGAGUGAAAUAUUUUGUAUAAGAUAAAAAAAAUGAGAAUGAACUUACUGUCACCAUAAAUUACAAGAAGAUACAAAGAAACAAAAAGGAUAGCAUUAUAAACAAACUUGAGAAUUUCA
rnacentral:lncRNA from 1 species